GCCUUCCAAUGGGUGAACAGCUCUAAUUCCCAGUUCACCAGAGGGACUACCAGACCCCCGUGCUCCAUCCUUUCCCAUUAGCACUCCAGCAAUGGGGAAGGAUCCCAUGGCAGCUGGAAAUUCAUUCACAUGCUUUGCAAUCACAUGACUCCAGGAGCUGCAGUCGAGGAAGAACAAUUUAUAUUGGGAGACAUACAAUAAACGGUUAGUUUAUAACAGGACUUAGAGUUUAUAACAGGACUACUUGUAUAAAUAAGACUUUGCAAAAUUCAAACAAGACUAUACUCAGUAACUAUUCAUAUCAAUGCAGACUAGAGCACUGAGGAAGAAUUUUAACUAUUCUGCCCUGCAGUUGGGUGGGCAUCUUCAUUAUCCCUCUGCCAAAACCCAUUACAUUUUCUAGCCAAUUUUAAUCACAAGUGACAUUUAGAAACUGAUUAACUAAGUAUCAACAUGAUACCGGCUACUUUAAAUGUGUCUGCUGUAUCAAUGAAUCAACUGAGCCAUACUAUGUAGGUUCAUACUCAUCUUGUGCUGCUCAGGAUAUUGCUUUAAUGGUCCUAUAGAAAAAAGAAUGCAGUCAGCUAAUGUAAUUAGUCACAGUCAAGCGAGCUAAAUCUUGUUGCAGAGGAGCUAUACAAGGGAUAAAUUUGCUCUUCCAAUGCCAAGAUCCACUUGUUCCAUGCACUAGCCUCAAGUUAUUUUGAGGAACUUGUUACUAAAGGACACAGACUCAGCAACAGGGUUGAAAAUAUGUUCUUCUUUUGCAGGUGACACCAGUGAUCUGCAGCUUUGGAGGCUUUUACUUCCAAAGGGAUCUGUGGCUAGAGCCCUGAGGAAAUCAGACUUUGUUUCAAGCUAUAUGUGAAGUUCCUGUGGAGCCAGCCCUUUCCCAAAGCUCAUAGAAGGAAUGCAGCUGAGUAUGAGGUCCAUGGAUUCUGGCUGAAGCUCACAACAAAAGUCAAGAAAGUCAUCAUCAUCCAUGGAGUUUCUGAUGCUCUGUUGAAUAAAGAGAGAGAAAAAACAGGAGGAGAAGAAUUACAGUUGUUGCUCAGAGGUAAGCCUCUUGAUAACCUCCUCUGUCCUCAGUGCUUGGAGGAGUUUGAGAAACCCCCUUAAAUCAUAUUAUUUCUACGUUAGAAGUUGUUAAGGCAUCUUCACUUGUGGACUGUGUUCUGUCGUGCUUUAGUUGGU